GGUGUCUCCUGGUGCCAACUGGCGUCGGGCUGGCUCCUGGCUUCUGGGUUCCUGCCCUCGGCGCCGUCUGCCUGGCGUUGGGGCUGCUGUUUCGCCUCCCUCAGCGGACUGUCGCCCCUUUGUCACGUUGGAAUUACACCUGUCUUUGCAGACGAAGGGCCCGACUCCUCCCAAGACCAAAGCCAUCACAGAGGAAAGCAGAGUGGAGAAACAGACGGGGGAGGAUAACAUUGUUUGAGCCAUGGGUGCAGCCAUAUAGCACUCACUCUGGAGGGAGCCAGCCGUCCUGAUGUGAGGACAUCCUGCCAGGUAGCAUGUGGCCAGGCCUAUACAGGGAGGAACUGAGGCCUGCCUCCAACAACCCUCAGGGAAUUGAGGAGGUAACUUGGGCCAGCACACAGCGCACAGCCAGACCAGAGAACAUUCCCACCAGCCUGCGAGGAUGAGAGCCCCUUCUCCCGGCAGGAGACACGUUUGUUCAUGAGCUUGUGGGCUCAGAAAAAGGAGGAGGCCCCACAGCGCCGGGGGCUUCGUCAUCCAGGCGUCCUGGCGAC